rnacentral:rRNA from 1 species
ACUCCUACGGGAGGCAGCAGUGGGGAAUAUUGCACAAUGGGGGGAAACCCUGAUGCAGCCAUGCCGCGUGUGUGAAGAAGGCCUUCGGGUUGUAAAGCACUUUCAGUAGGGAGGAAGGUAGUGUAGUUAACACCUGCAUUAUUUGACGUUACCUACAGAAGAAGCACCGGCUAACUCCGUGCCAGCAGCCGCGGUAAUACGGAGGGUGCGAGCGUUAAUCGGAAUUACUGGGCGUAAAGCGCAUGCAGGCGGCCUGUUAAGUCAGAUGUGAAAGCCCGGGGCUUAACCUCGGAAUUGCAUUUGAAACUGGCAGGCUAGAGUCUUGUAGAGGGGGGUAGAAUUUCAGGUGUAGCGGUGAAAUGCGUAGAGAUCUGAAAGGAAUACCAGUGGCGAAGGCGGCCCCCCUGGACAAAAGACUGACGCUCAGAUGCGAAAGCGUGGGGAGCAAAACAGGAUUAGACACCCUGGUAGCACAGAG